UGAAUACGAGACGCUAAGGCGUCGAAGUAGUGUAUGUCAUACUUCCAAGAAAAGCUUGCACUGUCAUAGAUAAAAAACGCCUGUACCAUAACCGACACAGGUGGGUAGGUAGAGUAUACUAAGGGGCGCGAGAUAACUCUCUCUAAGGAACUCGGCAAAAUAACUCCGUAACUUCGGGAGAAGGAGUGCCUUAUUCUUAAGGUUGCAAUAACAAGAUCCAAGCAACUGUUUAUCAAAAACACAGGUCUCCGCUAAGUCGUAAGACGAUGUAUGGGGGCUGACGCCUGCCCAGUGCCAGAAGGUUAAAGAAGCUGGUUAGCAUUUGCGAAGCUAGUAACUGAAGCCCUGGUGAACGGCGGCCGUAACAAUAACGGUCCUAAGGUAGCGAAAUUCCUUGUCGGGUAAGUUCCGACCCGCACGAAAGGCGUAAUGAUUUGGAUACUGUCUCGGAGAGGGGCUCGGUGAAAUAGACUUGUCUGUGAAGAUGCGGACUACCUGCACCAGGACAGAAAGACCCUAUGAAGCUUUACUGUAACUUGAAAUUGAAAUUGGACUUUAUUCGCGCAGUAUAGGUGGGAGGCGUUGAUUAUAAUCUUGCGGGAUUAUUGGAGCCAUUAGUGAGAUACCACUCUUGUAAUGUUAGAUUUCUAACUUUGAAUCAUUAUCUGGUCAAAGAACAGUUUCAGGCGGGCAGUUUGACUGGGGCGGUCGCCUCCUAAACGGUAACGGAGGCGUACAAAGGUUUCCUCUGAACGGUUAGAAAUCGUAUCUAGAGUGUAAAGGCAUAAGGAAGCUUGACUGUGAGACCUACAAGUCGAGCAGGGACGAAAGUCGGUCUUAGUGAUCUGACGGUACUGAGUGGAAAGGCCGUCACUCAACGGAUAAAAGUUACUCUAAGGAUAACAGGCUGAUCUCCCCCAAGAGUUCGCAUCGACGGGGAGGUUUGGCACCUCGAUGUCGGCUCAUCGCAUCCUGGGGCGGUAGUACGUCCCAAGGGUUGGGCUGUUCGCCCAUGAAAGCGGUACGCGAGCUGGGUUCAGAACGUCGUGAGACAGUUCGGUCCAUAUCCGGUGUAGGCGUUAGAAUAUUGAGAGGAGCCUUCUUUAGUACGAGAGGACCGAGAAGGACAUACCUCUGGUGUACCAGUUAUCGUGCCAACGGUAAACGCUGGGUAGCUAUGUAUGGAGUGGAUAACCGCUGAAAGCAUCUAAGUGGGAAGCCCACCUCAAGAUAAGUAUUCUCAU
rnacentral:rRNA from 1 species